GCUAAAGUCAGACCGUACCCCCAUGUAGCCUAAUACAGCUAUCGCUAGUUUAGACGGCCUGUUGGCUGUUACUCAGAAUUGUCUUCGUCUAGGGUUUAAGAAGGGGUCUAAGAAGGGCAAUCUCAGACUUCUAAAUCCCUGAGCUCAGUUGCUGAAAGAAGAAAAAGAAAAGUCACAAGUAGCGGAGUUCAAGUUCUCUUUUGCUGAUGGAUACUUCAAGGGUCAACUCCACUGAAUUGGAGCAGUUUCUGAGUUUUGCAAUUAUUGGGAUGAAGAUGGUUUUGAGAUGACAAAGAUACAAGAGCUUGUCCUGGAGGUAUCUUAUUGAGGAAUGGUUGGAGAAAUGUAACUAGAUGGGUAGGUAUUUAUUCUCUUAACCAUCCUCGGACGGAGUGCAGUAGGAUCAGGAUGAUAGGGGAAAUUUGCCUCAGGAUUGAAUGAUAAUUAUGGAUCCCUUGACAAAUCCAUGGAAUGGAUCUAUAUGAAGAAACCCGUUGCAGCUAUAAGUUGUUAAUGAGAUGGUCGUCAUCUGGCAAAACACAUGAUUAUGUCCUUGUACAUACCUGUCAAAACUGAAGUUACACAAGGGACAGAAAAAUGUACGAAUCUGUGCUUUUGGUGAACUAGUGUCAGGUUUUAUGUCUGUACAAGUUUUCCUGCUGAGCUAUGUGAUAUACCUUGAAUUUUCCUUAUUCUUUAGUGAGCAUAACCUGAUUGAAAUAUUAAUGUCAGAUCUUUUUGUUUCUAUAGAUAUUUAAUGUUAAUCAUGUAAUA